rnacentral:tRNA from 1 species
GCCAGAGUGGUGGAAUUGGUAUACACGCUGGGUUUAGGUUCCAGUUCUUUUGGGAAUAGGGGUUCAACUCCCCUCUCUGGU